GCAGGGCAGGAGAGUGUGUCAGUAAGACCCCCAUCCCGCAGCAUGUGGACGGGGACUGGAGUCCGUGGAGCCAGUGGAGCAUGUGCAGCAGAACCUGCGGUACUGGAGUCCAGUUCAGACAGAGGAAAUGUGACAACCCUCCGCCUGGUCCUGGGGGGCAACACUGUCAAAAGCUCAGUGUGGAGCACAAGGCCUGUGAACGCCCCCCCUGUCCGAAAGGAACCCCCUCCUUCAGAGACCUGCAGUGUCUGUCCUACGACCGGCACGCCAGCAAGAAGAAGGGCGGCAUGCUGACUGCCAUUAUCAAUGAUGAUAAGCCCUGUGUGUUGUUCUGCAGCCCUCUGGGCCGGGAUGUCCCCGUCCUGGUGUCUGACAGAGUGAUGGACGGGACCCCCUGUGGCCCCUAUGAAGCUGACCUGUGUGUGAACGGAAGA